rnacentral:rRNA from 1 species
GGACCCGCACAAGUAGUGGAGCAUGUGGUUUAAUUCGAAGAUACGCGCAGAACCUUACCAACACUUGACAUGUUCGUCGCGACUCUGAGAGAUUAGAGUUUUCGGUUCGGCCGGACGAAACACAGGUGCUGCAUGGCUGUCGUCAGCUCGUGUCGUGAGAUGUUGGGUUAAGUCCCGCAACGAGCGCAACCCUCACUUUUAGUUGCCAUCAUUUAGUUGGGCACUCUGAAAGAACUGCCAGUGAUAAGCUGGAGGAAGGUGGGGAUGACGUCAAGUCCUCAUGGCCCUUACGUGUUGGGCUACACACGUGCUACAAUGGUAUCUACAACAGGAAGCAAAACCGCGAGGUUAAGCAAAUCCUUAAAAGAUGCCUCAGUUCGGAUUGCACUCUGCAACUCGAGUGCAUGAAGCUGGAAUUACUAGUAAUCGU